rnacentral:rRNA from 1 species
UACGAAGGGGGCUAGCGUUGUUCGGAAUUACUGGGCGUAAAGCGCACGUAGGCGGGUCGUUAAGUCAGGGGUGAAAUCCCGGGGCUCAACUCCGGAACUGCCUUUGAUACUGGCGACCUUGAGAUCGAGAGAGGUGAGUGGAAUUCCGAGUGUAGAGGUGAAAUUCGUAGAUAUUCGGAAGAACACCAGUGGCGAAGGCGGCUCACUGGCUCGAUACUGACGCUGAGGUGCGAAAGCGUGGGGAGCAAACAGG